AGUUUUUGAGCUUGUUAAAGCAUUUACCUUGAAAGUAAAAAGAAAGGAAAAAUACUUCCUAAAAACUU
rnacentral:tRNA from 1 species